rnacentral:lncRNA from 1 species
CUCAACUGGAGUUCGUCUGAAACAUUUUUCUCUUGCCCUGCUAUGUUUUUCUUUUUGCUAUUCAAACUUCUCUUUCCAGAGACUCCUGCAUCAUCACGCACGAAGAUAAGAGCAGUUCUCUUGUAGCGGAGUUCAUCAGCCAUUUUCGAGGUACAUGCAUCCCCAAUAACGAAACGCCACCCUCCAUCCGCAGUUUAAUACGUACUACCAUAGCAUGUCUUUAUUAUACUGGGUCUCAAGAUUCAAAAGCUUCACUGACGCAAGACGACACAGGUCUGUACAUAUUAGUACAUCCGUAGUUCUUAACAUGACAAUAAACCGAGUUAUUUUCGACAGAUUUAAGGCACGAUCGGCCAGCACCAAAUAAGGCCUGAUCUUAUAUAUCUCAUGCCCUCUUGAACAGAACAACUAGGAUGACCGCUAUGGCCAGAGCCAUGAAGGAUCCACCUGCAGCCAUCUCCGCGAAAGAAGGGGGGCU